rnacentral:rRNA from 1 species
UGAAUACGAAAUGCUACGGCAUUGAAGUGAUCUAUGCCAGGCUUCCAAGAAAAUCUCGUCAUAUCUUAAGCAGUAGAUCCCUGUACCUUAAACCGACACAGGUAGGUAGGUAGAGUAUACCAAGGGGCGCGAGAUAACUCUCUCUAAGGAACUCGGCAAAAUAACCUCGUAACUUCGGAAGAAGAGGUACCCUUGAAAAAGGGUUGCAAUAACCAGACCCUGGCGACUGUUUACCAAAAACACAGGUCUCCGCUAAUUCGUAAGAUCAAGUAUGGAGGCUGACGCCUGCCCAGUGCCGGAAGGUUAAAGAAGUUGGUCAAUCUUUGGAUGAAGCUGGCGACUGAAGCCCCGGUGAACGGCGGCCGUAACAAUAACGGUCCUAAGGUAGCGAAGUUCCUUGUCGGGUAAGUUCCGACCCGCACGAAAGGCGUAACGAUCAGGGUGCUGUCUCGGAGAGAGACUCGGCGAAAUAGACAUGUCUGUGAAGAUGCGGACUACCUGCACCUGGACAGAAAGACCCUAUGAAGCUUUACUGUAUCUUGGAAUUGGGUUUGGGCCUUGCUUGCGCGUAUAGGUGGGAGGCUGUGAAGAUAUUCUUGCGGGAAUGUUGGAGCCAACGGUGAGAUACCACUCUAGUAAGGCUAAAAUUCUAACUCUGAACCGUUAUCCGGUCAGAGAACAGCUUCAGGUGGGCAGUUUGACUGGCGGUCGCCUCCUAAAAGGUAACGGAGGCGCGCAAAGGUUCCCUCAGGCUGGUUGGACAUCAGUCGUAGAGUGUAAAGGCAUAAGGGAGCUUGACUGCGAGACCCACAAGUCGAGCAGAGACGAAAGUCGGCCUUAGUGAUCCGACGGUUCCACGUGGAAGGGCCGUCGCUCAACGGAUAAAAGUUACUCUAAGGAUAACAGGCUGAUCUCCCCCAAGAGUUCACAUCGACGGGGAGGUUUGGCACCUCGAUGUCGGCUCAUCGCAUCCUGGGGCGGUAGUACGUCCCAAGGGUUGGGCUGUUCGCCCAUGAAAGCGGUACGCGAGCUGGGUUCAGAACGUCGUGAGACAGUUCGGUCCAUAUCCGGUGCAGGCGUUAGAGCAUUGAGAGGAGUCCCCCUUAGUACGAGAGGACCGGGGGGAAUACACCGCUGGUGUACCAGUUAUCGUGCCAACGGUAAACGCUGGGUAGCCAUGUGUAGCGCGGAUAACUGCUGAAAGCAUCUAAGUAGGAAGCCCACCUUAAGAUGAGUGCUCUCACCGCUAUAAGCGGGUAAGGUCACGGUAAGAACAACCGUUAUAUAGGCAUUAAGUAUACGUGCAGUAAUGCAUUUAGCUGAGAUGUACUAACAGACC